UAUUAUUGCUGUUAUAUAUAUGUACAUUAUUAUAAAUAUAUUUAUAGGUUUAUGCUAAGUUUAACAAUUGCAGAUGACGGCAGACAUUCAAAACAAUUGGCGACGCGCCCAUCGUUACCUCAACGUGAUGCGGAAAACCAUGAUAAGACUUUUAGAUAAGAAUGUGGAAAAAGAAGCACAAUUUGUUUUACCAAAGAACCUAUAAAUCGCGUACAUGGUGUUGUGUUAACGCAUAAGAGACGUGUGCGCGAAGGUGUACUCUGAGAGAUAAGAUAAGAUACGGGUUGAACCUACCAGUAAUGAUUUAUAUUAUUAUAUAAUACUGUACUAUUCCUUAAAGCGGAGAUAGAAUAACGUAUCACAUUAAAAAGCGAGACGAAAACAUCAUCUUUGCAAUCAUGACAUCAAGCAAUCUUUGUUUCAAAGUAACGCUAAUGAUAUUUUUGACGCGCAAUUGCGCAAUGGUGUUAUCUCAAUAAAUAAGUAACUGCACAAUGCCCAAUUACAGACGAUCAAAACCACAUCAAUCUAAUAAGGGUAAAUCUUCUCUGAGGGUUUUACGUAGAUUGAAGAACAUACACUCUUUAUUUCAUCUCUAAUGAAUGUAAUGAAUGCCUAACACUAUGGUGGUGAUUAGAAAAAACUUAUGUAACUAAUGUUCACCUUCUAAAAUUUUGUCGUCUUUUGAACGGACCUAUAGGGGGAUUUGACUUUUCUCCAACUUUAGAUUGUUGCCCGUAUUUCCAGCCGAUCAAAACGAUUUAUUCUCCCAA